AUUGAACGCUAGCGGGAUGCUUUACACAUGCAAGUCGAACGAGUGGCGGACGGGUGAGUAAUAUAUCGGAACGUGCCCAGUAGCGGGGGAUAACUACUCGAAAGAGUGGCUAAUACCGCAUACUAUUGGAGCAGCCGAUAUGGGAUUAGCUAGUUGGUGGGGUAAAGGCUCACCAAGGCUACGAUCCGUAGCUGGUUUGAGAGGACGACGCGCAACACUGGGACUGGGACCCGGCACAGACUCCUGCGGGAGGCAGCUGUGGGGAAUUGUUGAAAAUGGGCGCAAGCCUGAUACAACCAUCCCGGGUGUAUUAGAAGCCCUUGGGGUUGUAAAGUACUUUCAGUCGGGAAGCGUUACCUACAGAAUAAGCACCGGCUAACUCCGUGCCAGCAGCCGCGGUAAUUC
rnacentral:rRNA from 1 species